rnacentral:lncRNA from 1 species
UCAACAUGUGGGUUCUCUCUCAGGUAUCGAAUAAUAUCACUAGACAAUCUCUCCAUCAAAGGUCUUGUGCAAAUGUGUGUGCCAUCUUGGAAUUUAAAGUACAAAUCGGUCGAUACAAGUUUCAAAAAGACAACCUUACUCAACUACGUUCAAAUUAUCUAAAAGACACUACAUAUAUAUACUUUUCGAAAACAUGCUAAACACCAACUACUCCUAAAGUUCGAGUGAGGGAAAGACAACUUAGCUAAAAGUAUCUCUAUUUUUGGAUUUUUCUAAUUUUUCAUUUUUUAGGGUUUUUCAUUUUUUAAGAAUUACACUAAAGCCCUCCCCAUACCUAAAUCAUGCAUUGUCCUCAAUGUAUGCAAAAGAGAGAAUUGAAAUGAGAGAGUAAAGA